GCACCAAUGGUCUGGCGGUAGAAUAGAACCGUGCCAUGGUACAGACCCCGGAUCGAUUUCCGGCUGGUGCA
rnacentral:tRNA from 1 species